rnacentral:pre_miRNA from 1 species
ACGAACGGAUCGAACCUGUUGCAAGACGAACUUGGUUCGAUUUCGAGCAACGGGUCGAUCCAAGCCA